rnacentral:rRNA from 1 species
AACAGGAUUAGAUACCCUGGUAGUCCACGCCGUAAACGAUGUCGACUUGGAGGUUGUGCCCUUGAGGCGUGGCUUCCGGAGCUAACGCGUUAAGUCGACCGCCUGGGGAGUACGGCCGCAAGGUUAAAACUCAAAUGAAUUGACGGGGGCCCGCACAAGCGGUGGAGCAUGUGGUUUAAUUCGAUGCAACGCGAAGAACCUUACCUGGCCUUGACAUCCAGAGAACUUAGCAGAGAUGCUUUGGUGCCUUCGGGAACUCUGAGACAGGUGCUGCAUGGCUGUCGUCAGCUCGUGUUGUGAAAUGUUGGGUUAAGUCCCGCAACGAGCGCAACCCUUAUCCUUUGUUGCCAGCGGCUCGGCCGGGAACUCAAAGGAGACUGCCGGUGAUAAACCGGAGGAAGGUGGGGAUGACGUCAAGUCAUCAUGGCCCUUACGGCCAGGGCUACACACGUGCUACAAUGGCGCAUACAAAGAGAAGCGACCUCGCGAGAGCAAGCGGACCUCAUAAAGUGCGUCGUAGUCCGGAUUGGAGUCUGCAACUCGACUCCAUGAAGUCGGAAUCGCUAGUAAUCGUAGAUCAGAAUGCUACGGUGAAUACGUUCCCGGGCCUCGUACACACCGCCCGUCACACCAUGGGAGUGGGUUGCAAAAGAAGUAGGUAGCUUAACCUUCGGGAGGGCGCUUACCACUUUGUGAUUCAUGACUGGGGUGAAGUCGUAACAAGGUAACC